rnacentral:rRNA from 1 species
UACAGAGGUCUCAAGCGUUGUUCGGAUUCAUUGGGCGUAAAGGGUGCGUAGGCGGCGCGGUAAGUCGGGUGUGAAAUCUUGGAGCUUAACUCCGAAACUGCAUUCGAUACUGCCGUGCUUGAGGACUGGAGAGGAGACUGGAAUUUACGGUGUAGCGGUGAAAUGCGCAGAUAUCGGAAGGAACACCAGUGGCGAAGGCGACUACCUGGCUGUUCUUGACGCUGAG